GAAAUGCGAUACUUAGUGUGAAUUGCAGAAUCCCGUGAAUCAUCGAGUCUUUGAACGCAAGUUGCGCCCGAAGCCUCGGCCAAGGGCACAUCUGCCUGGGCGUCGCAAACCACAAUUCGCCCCCCGGCUCAUGUCGUCGGGGGGACGGCCUUGACCGUCCGGUCCGCCUCGGCGGUGCGGUCGGUUGAAAUACAAAAGGGGACCUUCGCAUGCUCUCCGACGGUGGGAGGUUGCGCAUCGCGGCCCGCUUCCCGGGAGGGGUCGCAUCCGGCACCGACCGUGCGGGAGAUGCUGCGCGAGGUUUCCCGAUCGAAAAAGGACUUCAUCGAAGGCGGGAGUUAUUCCCGUCGCAGACGCGACCCCAGUUCAGGCGAGAUCACCCGCUGAGUUUAA
rnacentral:misc_RNA from 1 species